rnacentral:rRNA from 1 species
GUACGAGAGGACCGGAGUGGACGCAUCACUGGUGUUCGGGUUGUCAUGCCAAUGGCACUGCCCGGUAGCUAAAUGCGGAAGAGAUAAGUGCUGAAAGCAUCUAAGCACGAAACUUGCCCCGAGAUGAGUUCUCCCUGAGACUUAGAGUCUCCUGAAGGAACGUUGAAGACGACGACGUUGAUAGGCCGGGUGUGUAAGCGCAGCGAUGCGUUGAGCUAACCGGUACUAAUGAACCGUGAGGCUUAACCUU